rnacentral:lncRNA from 1 species
UUGCAACCAAAACCUUAUAUACCACAACCCCUCUUGCUCAACCAACAACCUCCAAAACUCCACUUCCCUUAAAGAGCUAAAUUAAAUUCUCUAACCUUUGGGACCCUCAAUCAGCCAACCUCCUUAUUUAGACAAAUUUUAUCCCACUUCACUAGGUUUAUACCUACUGGUACCUUGAAGAAGGAAAGAAAUUGAAAAUAUUUCUAGUCACUAAUGAUCGGCAAUAUUUGGCACAUGACCAAGUAGUAAUACAAUGCAUAACAUGAAAAUUCGUAACCAUGUUAAAUUUUAUGAAAAUGUGUAAAGUUAAUAUAUUUGGAAUUGAAAUAUUUUAUUUUUUAAAUAUAUUAUUUCCAUAGAGUGCUUAAAGAAUGUCUCGGACACUCGUUAACCAAAAA